AUCUCCUAGACUUCUGCUAUUUAGAGUAACGGAGAGAAGUAGUAGGUUGCCAUCCUCAGUGAGGACCAGCACUGGAGGGGAAAAGAAGGUUUCACAGAUAUUUGCUGGCUGCAGAGGAAUGUGAAAAUCUUUAAGAACUCGUGGAUAAAGCAGAUAGCAGAAUCCUACAUUGGAAGAAGAUAUCCAUGAAACAUGGCUGAAGUAACGUGUAAAGCACAAGACAUGUUCUUCGGGCCUCAUCCAGAAGACACUUGUACCUGUAAGCAGAGACCUCAAUUCUAUGCAGCUGGACUCUGAUGCCACAUGGAGUCAGUUACAGGAUCAGUGCCUUCAUUAUUUCCAUGCAAAGUCCCAUUGGCUUCAAUCAGACUCCAUCGGGUGUCACUGUAUUGGCUUCAUGCGUAGAGAGAAGACCGGGGAAGAGUUCUUCUUCCUGUGCGUUGCCUGAGGUCUACAGAAGUGGAGAACUGAGCUAAUGUUGGUGGAAAGAUGGAGACUCUUUGAAGAACAUGUUUCCUCGAUAACAUUGACCAUUACCAAGGGCAUCUCCCCACAGAUUGCUAUGUCCACAUACAGACUUUGGGUCCUUUUGGAUAUCCCAAUGCUACUGUAUGCAAAACGACCAUGGCAGCAAAAAAA